rnacentral:rRNA from 1 species
GAUCCUGGCUCAGGACGAACGCUGGCGGCGUGCCUAAUACAUGCAAGUAGAACGCUGAAGAGAGGAGCUUGCUCUUCUUGGAUGAGUUGCGAACGGGUGAGUAACGCGUAGGUAACCUGCCUGGUAGCGGGGGAUAACUAUUGGAAACGAUAGCUAAUACCGCAUAAUAGCAGUUAUUGCAUGAUAACUGUUUGAAAGGUGCAAUUGCACCACUACCAGAUGGACCUGCGUUG